rnacentral:rRNA from 1 species
GGGGGGGGGGGGGGGGGGGGGGGGGGGGGGCGGGGUGGGCGCGGGGGGGGGGUGCGUGGCGCGAGUGGAUGGGCGGCGGACGGGUGAGUACCGCGGGGGGGACCUGCCGUGGAGCGGGGGACACCCGUUGGAAACGAAUGCUCAUACCGCCUAGAGACUUGAAACACAAUGGUUCCUGCUGACAGAGGCAAGUGCAUCACUCCACGACGAUCCCGCGUUCUAUUAGCUUGUCGGUGUGGUAAAGGCUCACCUAGGGGAUGUUACAUAGACGAGCUGACAGGGUGAUCGGCCACAUUGGGACUGAGACACGGCCCAAACUCCUACGGGAGGCAGCAGUAGGGAAUCUUCGGCAAUGGACGAAAGUCUGACCGAGCAACGCCGGGUGAGGGAAGAAGGUUUUCCGAUCGUAAAACUCUGUUGGUAGAGAAGAACGUUGGUGAGAGUGGAAAGCUCAUCAAGUGACGGUAACUACCCAGAAAGGGACGGCUAACUACGUG